rnacentral:rRNA from 1 species
ACUCAAAUGAAUUGACGGGGGCCCGCACAAGCAGCGGAGCGUGUGGUUUAAUUCGAGGCUACGCGAAGAACCUUACCUAGGUUGGACAUGGGGGUGGUAGGGAGCCGAAAGGUAACCGACCUUCGGGAGCCUCCACAGGUGCUGCAUGGCUGUCGUCAGCUCGUGUCGUGAGAUGUUCGGUUAAGUCCGAAAACGAGCGCAACCCUCGGCGUUAGUUACACGUGUCUAACGCGACUGCCCGUGAGAAACGGGAGGAAGGUGGGGAUGACGUCAAGUCAGCAUGGCCUUUAUAUCUAGGGCUACACACACGCUACAAUGGGGGACACAAUGGGAUGCCAACCCGCGAGGGGGAGCCAAUCCACCAAAGUCCUUCGUAGUUCGGAUUGCAGGCUGCAACCCGCCUGCAUGAAGCUGGAGUUGCUAGUAACCGCGCAUCAGCUACGGCGCGGUGAAUACGUUCCCGGGCCUUGUACACACCGCCCGU